rnacentral:lncRNA from 9 species
AUGGAGUGGUCCAGCUGGAGCCUCGCUCCCAGCAUCCUACGCGCGUCAUCACGUCAUAGAUGCGCACGUAGACCAAGCGCGGCCACGGCUGCUGCGCACGGCUGUGCAUGGCCUCCCAGCACAUGCGUCCUGUUGUGCGGCGCUGCGACGCGGCACUCACAGUGUCCAGCAGGUAGUGGGCGAACCGUGGUCUGUGGCAGGCCACCUGGUGCAUGUUUUUCCUGCAUCCACUGUCGUCGUUGCCAUUCCCAUCACGCACAGCUUGUCAGGAGGGUAGCCCUGCCAGGCCGGGCUCACCGUGAAGAGAUUUGCUUUUGUUGUAAACCUUAUGGACUAUAUAAAGCUACUGUGAAGGAUUAUUUUAAAGGUACGGUGAAGCUGCCAGUGACUAAUUUUCGUGACAAAAAAUAGCUUGAACUGCAGGAAUGAUCUGAAAAAAGUUUUUGGAUAAUAAAUGGACCAAAGAUAAAAGCCUUCUCACUAAUGAGAGAAAGAAAUAUUCGGUUCUGCUGAUUUGUGGUGGAUUUUAUCUUCCUACAGGAAAAGUGAAGACAAAAUUUUUGAAGAUGGCAGAAUAUAAGCAAAGUGAUAUUUAUCACAUGCUAUAA